rnacentral:rRNA from 1 species
UACGUAGGGGGCAAGCGUUGUCCGGAAUUAUUGGGCGUAAAGCGCGCGCAGGCGGUUGAUUAAGUCCGGUGUUUAAGGCUAUGGCUCAACCAUAGUUCGCACUGGAAACUGGUUAACUUGAGUACAGAAGAGGAAAGUGGAAUUCCACGUGUAGCGGUGAAAUGCGUAGAGAUGUGGAGGAACACCAGUGGCGAAGGCGACUUUCUGGCCUAUAACUGACGCUGAGGCGCGAAAGCGUGGGGAGCAAACAGG